rnacentral:lncRNA from 1 species
GAUCGCGCAGUAUUAUAUUAAAUGUUGGCUACAGAAUGAUAUAUAGAAUUUCAAAGACAAAUGUAAAAGCAAAUUCCAUCCACAUAUGCAAGUAGCCAAUGAUGAUGUAGGCAACCGCGAAAAGAGGAAACCAACUAAAGAAUGGUCUGUCUUGAUAAAGUUGCCUCAUUUUAUAGAAUCGGCUUGAAAUUGCAAUAAAUCAGUUGCUAUCAAGCCUCAUUUACUAACAUGGAUAAUAGCUAGAAAAAGAUACCAUGGAACCAGAGGAUCAAAGUACUGGCAUCAGUACCCACACCAGUACCUUACAGAUAUGCUAUGAUACAUAGCAACAAUAUACAUUUCAUGGUAAUCAAGGUUAAAAAUUACAAAGAACUGAUAGGGUCUACAUAGAUUUAGAAAUAGGAUGCAAUCUACAAAUCAUAAAAUCGAUGCCAAAUAUAAAACUAUCAGGAGUUAGACUUAACAACUGUGAUUGAAUUGUGUUAAAUUAAAUGUUGGCUACAGAAUGAUGUUUGGAAUUUCAAAAACAAAUGGAAAAGCAAAUUCUUUUCCACGUAUACAAGUAGCCAAUGAAGAUGUAGGCAACUGCGAAAAGAGGAAACCAAUAAGUAAAUGGUCCGUCUUGAUAAAGUUGCCUAAUUUUUUAGAAACAGACUGAAAUCAUAAUAAAUCUGUCGCUAUCAAGCCUCAUUUAAUAACAUGGAUAAUAGCUCAAAGAAAAUAUUGUGGAUAUGGUAUGAUACAUACUGACAGAAUACAUUUCAUGGUGCCAGCACAACAAAAUAAGUGAAUUACCAUGUGUUUGUACAGUACAAGUACGGGAAGUAUAUCGGUGCAGUACAUCACAUAGAAUCCGGAACUUAAAUCCUUGAUGGAACUAAAGAGCCAUAGGCGUAUGUUUCUAUACUUAGUUGAACCUUGUGCAUCUUAAUAUUAUGAAAACCAUCAUCUUAAAUAAUCAACAUUUAGUAAGAAAAAUUUUUAGAUCUUUGUUUCUAUGUUCAAUUGAAAUUAGUGCUUCAAGUCUAGAAACAAAGAACCAUGUGGAAUAGUUGAACUCUGGCAACAACAAAGGCAAACAGGGAAAAAAAUAUCACCACGAAAGUUAAAAGAUGCACAAAAUUACCAAACUGCCUAUUCACUAAUGCUAAUUGUCAUGCACCACUCAUAGGAUAUUGCAUGGGUAUAGUGGGCAUCUAAAUUAUGGAGUCAAACAGAAUGAGUGUUGCAUGGCAAAUGAUGACCAUUCCACAUAAAGUCCGCAAAAACAAAACUAACAGACACCUCAUGCUUCAGUGGGUCAUACAAAUUGCUUCUAGAAGAUAAAAUUACAGUAGUAACAAAAUAUGGAGUGCUUGGUGUAAUAUAAAUAAUUAAAAAUAGAAGCUGGAGAUAUCAACUAAAAUUUUCAUGCCGCUAUAAUCACAAACAAACAAAAUGCAAGGUUCAAGCACAUUAAUGAAAAUUAUUAGCACUAAAAUUUUCAAGAUGCCAUAAACACAAACAAACAAAAUGUGGGGUUCACUACCAUAAGUAUUGAAUCAAAGAGAGAAAACAUGUGCUUCCAAUUGAACAUGUCUAGAUUAGUUUCUUCUGCCGAAACACCUGAAACAUAGGUUGGAUUUUAUACUAUUAUCGCCAAGGUCCAUAGGACCAAGACCCAUGCCGAUAGGCCACCAGUACGGUAUGAUAUUGUACCGUUCUGUUUUGGCAUGUACAGAUGAAGGAAUGUCGGAGAGGGUGAAGGAGAGAGAGGGGAGAGGGAGGAAGGGGGAGACAGAUGCUGGGAGAGGGAGAAAGGGGGCUUGGAAGCCCUCCUCUCCUUUGCUCGGGCCGCUGAGUGGAGCCCCUGCUUCAUUUGAAACACAAGCUUGGGGUGAACAGAGAGAGAGAGGGGGGAGGGAAGGAGGAAGAGAAAGGGAGAGGGAGGCGGAGCAUGAAAGAUGCUAGGAGUGGGUGAGAGAGGAGGCUCAAAAGCCCUCCUCUCGUCGUCCACUCGUCUGCAAGGGGUGUUGGACAAAGCCCUUAUUUCGAAUUGGACAGUUCGGGACGGUACAGCAAUCCUCUAUUAUCACAUUAAUUAUGGUUGUCAACACCGUUGGAGGUGUACAAUUUAAGCAUUAAAGGGAAAGGAGAAUGUGUCAUGUAGCAUGCAGACCAUUGUGACUUUAGGAUAUCUAUGGAAUGAUUGAACAUUCAUAACCAUGUCACAAAAUGUCAAGAAAUUUUACUACCUCCAAGGACAAAAUAUCAGAAACCGGAAGCAAAAUGAAUAAAACUCAAAUUUAAUAUCAUAAGCCAAAUAAUACUCGUUGCAACCCUUGACAGAGGAUAGUCAUUUUCACUGGAAUGCAAUUUGCAAAUGGUUCUUAUUUAGUAAUAACCAAUAAAAGAUAAGCAUAUGAAAAUACUUAGAAAAUCAAAGAAACCAUGACAUGCAUACCAUAUGCAUGUCACAAUAGCAACAAAUAAUAAGUCGUCAUCCAAUGAUACUUGUUCCACUCAAUGAAACACUACAGGGGGGGAAUCUAUAAAGCAAGCUACAAUUGGAUGCUGGAUAAAACAAGCUCCUUGCAACUUACACUGACAAGUACUGGUGAUUUUUCCUUUUUUCUCUUUUUUUAUUGUCAAGAAACUUUGUUUUCAAACUACCAAAAAAAGUUACAGAAAGCAGCAAAAAGAAAGCUUGAAUCCCAUGAAGAGAAGCAAAAAAGGUAAACAGCAACCAUUCCUUAAGAAACUAAUGGAGUAAAAUCUAUAGCCAAAGAGAAGGAAAAAUAAACUUGAGGCACAAAAAAAACAAGCCAAAUUAAAGUCUAAUAAAAAUUUAAAGUAUGCAUUCAUAAUGCAGUCUAAGUGAAAGAAUGUUUUACAAAUGCAAAACAAUAAUUUACAUUCCGAAUCAUUGAAUGGAAAAAGUUCAAUACAAAGUCAAAGCAAAAUUCAUAAAUAUUCACAUUAAAUAAAGAUAGAAGGAAUGCCCUAUCAGAGUAACUAUGACAAAAGCAUCCUUGGAUGUAACUCCAUAGCUUUCAAAAAUUAUUCCUCAUUUAGGGACUAAUUUCGAUAAAAGGACAAGGUGGAACAUUACAAUCAAAACAGUGCUAGCCGAUAUUUUAGCAAAAAGAAAAAUAUAUGUCAGCAACCAAAACCACAUUGUGCUGAAAAUCCAGAAUGGGUGGCCAGUGGAAUAUAGUUUAACCAGCACCAUCUGCCAGGGAGAUAUAAAUUUAUAUUAAAUCUAUACAAAUCAAGUCAUACAUACCAUUGACUCCAUCAAAAUUACCUCCAAGGUAGGGGUGAAAGUGGAUCGGAUAAUGGAUCCAUUUUCUUAUUUAAAUCUAUCCGGAUAUGGAUAGAAAUUUGAGCAUCCGACAUAUCCAUAUCCAUAUCUGUCAAAGAAAAAUGGAUAUGAAUAUGAACAGACAACUAUCUGAUCCAUAUCCAAAUAGAUGAUUCUACUUACAACCCUAUUUAAUUUUAUAUAGCACUCAUAAACUUUUACAGAAAAUGAAUAAUCAUAUUAACAUGCUAUUAACUUAAUAUAUUAUCCACUUAAUAAUAUUUUCGAUUCCAUGAUCAUAAAAUUUAAUUAUUUGAAUUAUAUCCUAAUUUAUAUCCAUGCCCUCAAUAUCUAAUCUGUAUCCAUAUCCAUAUCUGUUUAAAACAAAUAUAGAUAUGAAUUUUUGUACCUGACUAACAUCUAUAUCCAUAUCAAUAUUCGUCAAACAAAACAAAUAUAGAUAUAGAUAUACUAGUAUUAGAACCGAUACAAUUUCAGCCCUACUCUAAGGUGAUGUUCUUUUGGAGUGAAGAGAAAUGAGGCAUCCACAAAUCAAAAAUCUAAUGCGAGCAUAAACUCGAUGCACAUCAACUACUAAAAAGUCAUCAACUCUACUAUAACCUAUUUCACAAGACCCUUGUGCAUGUUAGUCAAGCGUUGUUCCAUUAAUCAAGGGCCACCUCCUCUCUAAAAUACAUAGCAAGAAAUAGCUUAAGGUGGCAUAACAGAGAAGCAUAUCCUAAUAACUUGAAAGGGAAAUCAGCAGGCUUUCAUAUAGCACCCUGAUGGGAGAAUGCAUUUUCUAUUUAUAUUUGUUUCUUAACAACUGCCUCAAAAUUAUGGAGAGAUAGUCAUAAUGCAUGCCAAUUAAUGAACAAGAGGAGUAUAGUUAUAAAUGCUAAGUAUACGACUAUGAAAGAGAGGACCCAUGAUUUUGUCUGAAGUUUGCCUCCUCAUUAACCAGCAAUCAAAGCAUCACAUUCAUUUGUGUGCCAAUGCUAGUGUCCACCAUAACAAUGUAAUUACAUAUUGAGAUCUAUAAUAAUUGCAUAAUAUCUAAAUUAUCUAAAGCGGAAUUGGGUGCAUGAAAGUUCCGAGUGCAAGUCCAGAGAAGCAGGGUUUUCUUUUUCUUUUUAAGAAAAAAUGGAACGUGUUUAAGAAGCAGAUGCAAGCAGGUUGCUGGAGAGAAGCAAGCACAGAACCUAGGUAGAAGUUUCCUACGACUAAGCUCAGUACACAGCUACUCACCCAUGACACAUGUUACACCAACUUAUAUCCAUACAAAACAGAUGUCAUCCUAAAUAUUCUGUGCCUUUCAAUGUAGCUACAACAAUCCAAUUUUUUCCAACUUAAUAUGCAUUAGCAAAAAACUGAAAAAACAUUCCAAUUCCUGUAAAAGAAAAGGAUACCUUUUUUCCAGGCCUCACAAGCCUCAAUGCUACUUCCGCUGCAGUGUUAGAAGCUGCAAUUACAUCUGCAGCCCUUCCCGUCACCGGCCCUUCCUGGAGGACAUGAGUGUGCGCCACUACUGCAAUAAACCCAUCUAUAUGGCAUCCAAUAUCACUGCAACACAGAGAAAAAGCAGAGAUGACUCAAUAUGCUUCUCAUUAAGUUGUUCAAAUAAGUACAACUAUCAUGAUUAAUUCAUACAUUUUCACAAUGUCAUUCUCCUCCAAAACCGUCUCAUCUCCUGCCAGGGGUGAGAAAUGGCACACGGUGUUAUUCACAGAGAUGCAUGUUGGGAACGCCACACCCCUCUCUAUCUUCUUCUUCACAUUUUUGUACAUGUUUCCCGCUUGCCUAAUGCCACCAUCGACAACCCAACCUUCUUAUAAAUUUAUCAACUCUACUUUGUAAACAACAAAAUGACAGUAAAUAGAUGUUUUAGAAAAAAAUAACCAGUAGAUAAUAGAGAAUUACUCUCGGAUAAAGGCAUCGCCUUUCUCACAAAUAUCUACGAUCUUCGCCUUGGGCUUGCACUCGGACAGAACCAGCUGGAGAGCCUCUGUUUCCACACCAAAAAAUCAUAAUUUUCGUAAAACUUUAGAUAACAAAGACCCCAAUAAUCAUCCGAAACUAAAAAUAAAAAUAAAAAAGAGAAUACUAGGGUAUCGAUCACGAAUCGAACGGGAAGCAAAGAGGGAACGAUAUGAGAUCCUUACUGUUGACGAUCUCUGCCGCGCUCUUGUACUUGGUGACAACGUCACUGGACGUGAGAUCGAGCUCCUCCUCCUUCGCUUCGUCGUCCGACAUCUCUCUAAACCCAAAACCCCUAAAAUUUCAAAAAUCGACAAAAAAUAAAAAUUCUUGAUACAGAGGAGAAUCAGCGGAAGAUAAAGAACAGAUCAUUACCGGAGAAAUCGAAUGGACAAAUUUAUUUUCUAAAUUAGGGUUUGGUGAGAAAGAGGAGAGAAACCAAACCGCCCCCUCAAGGUCUGAGGUUACGUCAAGGGGCUAUCAGGGGUGAGAGAGAGAGGAUUAGGGCUUUACGAAACCCGGUCGGGGGGAGGUGGCGCCGUAAGCGAUGGAGAGCGCUUUUAGGGCAUCACCCACCGUUCAUCCUAAUUUAUAGGUCUGCGCACGUGCAAUGCACGUGCUACAUCGGGCAAAUGCAUUUUGUGAUGAAAUUUCCUUUUUCUUUUUAAAUUUUUCCUAAGCCUUGAGCACGUUUUCCAUAAAGGGAUUACCCAAAAAUAUAGUAGGUUUUUUUUUAUUUUUUUGGUACAUCGGCAAUUUACACUAGUCUUGCAUGAGCAUUACCAUUAGAAUCAAGAGAUAAAUACUCUAAAGAGGUAGAGAAACAAAUACAAAGUUAAACUCCACUUUCAUAAUUGACAAAUUUAUUAGAAAUACAUAGUAAACUAGUACUGCAGUGUUGUCGUAACUAUUGCACAAACAGGUGAGUGAGGGUGACGAUUAAUUGUGAUCAUUCUCCUAAAUGAUUAGCUCAACGAAGCACACCUUCAAAUACAAAUUGGUAUUGAAAUAUCAUAAUCUUAUAGACAAGUAUCACAAAUUUGCUGGUUUUACUAAAUUAACUAUCUUAUGUUGGAAUUUUCAAGGAAAUCACAAAACAAAAAUGCUUGUCAUGCUAAAAAAAUGGAGAAACUUGGAAGCUUCUAACUUCAUCAAUUAUAAAAGUUAUAAAUAACAAAACUUGGCAAUGCUUUGACGGACACCAUGCUGGAUCAAAAAGAAUAAUAAGAAGACUACAAAGCUCUGGAAUAAACAUAACAAAUGACAACAUUUAGUUAGGAUAUCUUGAGAGGGCUAGUUAACUACUAUCUGAUCAAUAUUACGUCCUCAUCAUAUGUGAAGAACCCAGUUGACUCAACGCAGUGAGCCAUGUCUACCCAGGCUUCCGAGUGUGGAAAGCAGGCUGUGUCGAAGGUCGACAGACUGGCAGGAAAUCGCAUGUGAGAGAGGGAAGAGAAGACUGGAAUCGUUGAUUCCGCGCGCGUUCUUCUUUUCCAACGAGAUUUCUCGUUGUCGAUUGCGAGAAAACUAGAUUGAUCAGGUGGCCUCCUCCCCCCAGUUUCUUCUCCUUUAUCGGUUGCCAUGGCCACACGACCUUCUCCUCCAUCUGCCUCUCUCUUCUCCUAUUCUUCCAUCUUUAUCUUUCUCCGUGCAUCUUCCUUUCUCUGCUUCGAGCUCGUCGUGGCCCAUCUCUGUCUGAUUCAUGGUUGGAGUGCAUCGUUGGAGUAAGGCAAUAGCCCCGACCUCCUCCCACAUGCUCCUCUCUGUUGUUCUUCUCUUUGCCAGCACUGCCACCUCCAUUGGUGGCCGUUUCCCCACCGUCGGGCUCCUGCAACCGGCGCCCUCGCUGUGCCCAACCCUACUGGGCCAUCGUGCCCUUCCCCCUCUUCCCCCCAUUCUAGUGAGGGUGCUCCCCUAUUUUGCCGAAGAAAAAAAAAAGUAAGAAGAGAGAGAGAGAGAGAGAGAGAGAGAGAGAGAGAAGGNNNNNNNNNNNNNNNNNNNNNNNNNNNNNNNNNNNNNNNNNNNNNNNNNNNNNNNNNNNNNNNNNNNNNNNNNNNNNNNNNNNNNNNGGUGGAUCCGUAACAGGAUCCGAGACCAGUGUCGUGGCGACCGCUUGGGCCGGCCUUUUCUGCCUCUUUUCUCCGGUCAAGAUACAACGUCAGAUCAAGUCCAUUUCGAUCCCAUAGAGCUUUUUAUUUUGCAUUUAAAUUUUUAAAUAAUUCAAUGUAAAUUAAUUUAUUUUUUAAAAUGAUUUUGAAAGGUGCAGUAGAUUUGCUAAUGAUCUUUAGGCAACCAGAAGCAAGUAACCUUAAGACAAGCCUUACUGUUGUUGAUGUACCGAUCAACUUCAAAAAUGAAGAUAUAGAUUAUGUUUGAUAUGACAGUCUCCAUAUUUUUUUAAAAAUUUAGAAUCAUGAUUGUAAAUGAUUUAUGUAUAAAUUAUGGACUUUAAAUUAUGAAAAAUUACAUUUUUAUUUAAUAAUGAAAAAACUUUGGACCAUUUUUAUUAUUGUAUUUGAUGAGAUAAAAUUUCAUACAAUUUUUUUUUAUAAGCUUUGUGUUAUUGCGGGCGAUACCGUACAGUAGCACCAACACAUCAUAUUCCAAAUUUAGGACGUGACAGCAUGACCUAUUAGUAGAGACAAAGCUGGAGUUGAUAAUUGGCUGAGUGGGGUGUGGACGUGUGAUCUGCGGCAAUACUCGUUGGUAAAUGAUAUAGCUGAGAUCCAAGGAAGUUGAAGGAUGAAAGAUGAUCCGCUCUAGGUGGUCUAUUUAAUGUUUGAUAGCUGAAUGAAAUGCUAUUCUAACUAUGUUCUGUUCUUGUGUGGUUUCAAUAAUUCAAUCUUAGGAAGUUUUCUUUUUAUACUCUUGUGCAUAAUCUCUCUUGUAUUGUACGUUGUGAUUCUGCAGUCUGCUCUAUGAGAUUUAUCCAGAGAAUCUUCCUCCCCAGGUGGUGCAAGGGCUCAAUGUGUUUGCUGAAGAUGCUAUUGUUUUUGCAGCUGACACAUGGCAUAGUGUAGGUCUUUUUCUCAUUCUAUAUUUACUUCUGAUCGUGAGAAUUACGUGAGGAUGGAAAUAAUUUAUUACUGACGCUGCAUCAUUGUAGAGACUUCUACAUAGUUAGCGGCACAUUCCUAGUUCUUGCACUUAGCAUAAAUCCAUUUUAAAUGAUGAGAGUAAUGCAGUGCCCAUGCAUUUGGGGCCUAAGACGAAAUCACUUAAAGAGACCUUUUUUUUGAAAAAUGAUGAAAAACAUUUAAUAAGUGCAAGGGAGCAAGGAUCUGGACAAAUUUCACCAGAGUUUAUUAGCUUAAAUUCAAGAUUAUAAAAAAUGAAGAACCAAAGAAAAACUUAAGAAAUAAAUUAGCUUAAGAAAAAAACCAAAUAUUUUCUAUCAAAGCAAUAAAUUCAAGAUUAGAAUACCUUCACAUGUAUAAAACUUGAAAAAGUGUUGACCCAGAGAGGCCCAUACAACAUGAUAAAAUGCUUACCGCUUUACCUUGUCAUUAUAGUAAAGAUCACAAAGUAAGUUAACCAAACUGGCUUCGCUAAGUCCAUUGUUUGGAUGCUCGGCAUAUAACUAGCUUGGCUCUGCAAAAUAAAUCCAAGUCCAUAAUUAAGUUAUAUUUGGUGCUUGAACGUAAUGCUUUCAUAAUUAUUAAGUCAAAAGUUGCAACAGAAUAUACCUGAUAUAAUAUAUCUAUUAUGAGCAUUAUAUAUCUAAUAAUCAUAUACCUGCAUUGGGAUAUAAUAUAUCGUACAUAUCAACUGCUUGACAAAACAAUAAUAGAUAAUUGAUAGUGACUAAGAAAAGUAAGAAAGCUAUCAUUGAAAAAUUUUACUUAAUCAGUUAAUUGUAGAGAUAUUCUUAAAUAAACUUAAGCAUAUACUCCUUGUUACAUGAUCUGUUCCUCUUGGGUUAUUCCAUAUAUGAUGGAUUUAAUGCCUCAAAUGUUAAGAGAGAAAAGAAGGCAGUUCACUUUGACCUUUUUAUUUUGGUGGAGUUUAAACAUUUUAUCAGAUCAUGCAUGAAAAGAGAAAAGUCCAGCUAAAUAAACAUGUUCAAAAUAAAUGGCUACAAUCGGUAUCCAGCAGUACAGUCUUGCCUUGCCAUUUCCAGAACCAAUCGAGCCUCACAAUAAAGAAGCAACUUAAAAUUGUCACAAAGCCUGAUUGCUAGUGGCAUUAGAAGGGCAGUGCCUGAGAAAUCUGCUAACGGAACAUACAUCUAAAAGAUAGCGUUCGAUAUUUUCCAGUUGUCUUAUAUGUCAUCAUUGGUCAUAAAAAGAAGGAAGAGAAUAGACAGUAGGGGAGGAAAGAGGAAUCUCUACGGGAGCAAAACCUUUGCUAUUGAAGUUACAAAAAAUUGAAAAUAUGUGGCCACAAGGGAGUAGAUUCAAAACCUUUAAAAAUGUAAUAAACACUAAUCCCAGCAUACAAUCCCCAAUCUUGAACAACCAAAAUAGAAGAUUUGAAAUUUGGGUUCUCACAACCUGAGCAACCAUCAAUGCAAGAUCCCCACCCCAAUCUUCCAAAGGUCUCCAAAUUAUAUGACUUGUGGGGGAGACAAAGAACAAAUAAUCUGAAGAAAUUAAUUAUAGUAAAGACAUUAGAGAAACCAUGAAAAAGCUGAAUCUUUGAAGGGAAACAAAAAGGAAUUUCAAAGCAAAGAAGGGGAGAAAGAGGCUCAGAUUCACCACUUAAUCCAGCAUUGAGUUAGCAUUCAAGUCUCUGAAACUACAAGCCUAAGCGGCUGCAUAAGUUGCCUGUAGAAUGGUAGCAGCAGAACUGCCAAGAUUGCCUUAGCCAUUUCUACUUCGCAAUGCAGCAAGACCCUUGCCUAGGAAUCAUCACAGCCCUCUUCAUAUAAAACUAAAACAGGUGCCGCUUGCCCAAUCUGGGGAACAAAAAAUGAAGAAGAAAAGAAAAGAAAGAAAGAGAAAAAGAUGCUAAGGAGGAAGAAGAAGACCUAAGGCUCAGCGAUGCGAUGGAAUUCUUGAAUGGAUGAGACCGAAAGAUCCCCCACUUUGUCUCCUCGAGUGACCUCUCCAUCCAACAAUGGUUGUACACUGGUUGUCUGCAGAACAGCAAGCCUUCCAAAGUUGCCUCGCCCAUGCCCAUCGGUCAAGAAGGAACACAGAGAGGAGAGAUGAGAUGGGGGUCAAUUUCAAGAACAGCUUUAAGCUGCAGAAAGGCUAUGUCUGGUUCAAGAAUUAAGAUGACAAGUGAUAGGAAUAAGACAAAGAUAAGGUAAAAGAAGAAGAUGAGAGAAGCAGCAUUACGGUAACAAAAAAAACCUUCCUAGAUGCCAAAAGCCUCAUAUUAAAAACAACCAAAUGCUUUGAAGGCACCUUUGUUUCCACACAUAACAAUACUAUCAGGCAUACAAUCCCUAAUCUUGAACAACCAAAAUAGAAGAUUUGAAAAUUUAGGUUCUCAAUUUCCGAGCAACCAUCAAUGCAAGAUCCCCACCCCAAUCUUCCAAAGGUCUCCGUAUUGUAUGGAUUCUUGGGGAGCCAAAGAAAAAUUUAUCUGAAGAAAACUAAAUAUAGAGAAGGAAUUAAAGAAAUCUUGGGAAAAGAAAAUGCCAAACGAAGCGGAGGAAGAGUCCCAGAUUCACCACUUAAUCCAGAAUUGCGUUGUAAGUCUUCAAGAUGACUAAGCUGCUGCAUCCAGUUGCCUUCAGAACAUCCGCAGAGGGUCCAAGAUUGCCUUGCUGUCAGAAAUAGCUGUUUUCUACUUCGCGAUGCAGCAAAAAAACCCCUAUAUCGAUGCCAGUUUCCCAGUUUGGGGAACAAAAAAUGAAGAAGAAAAGCAAGAAAGAAGAAAGGAAAGAAAGAGAAAAAGAAGCUAAGAAGAAGAAAGAGAAACAGACCUUGGGCUCAGAGGUUCCGGGAUUCUUGAAUGGAUGAGACCGAAACCGAAAUAUCCCCCCUCCCUUCUACAAUGGCUGCAUACUGGUUGCCUGCGGAACAGCAGGCCUUCCAGAGCUGCCUCGCCCAUCGUUCAAGAAGAGAACAGAAGACAAGCCGAGGAGAUGAGAGACGAGUUGAACAACCAAAACAGAAGAUUUAAGAAUUUGAAUUCUCCAAACCCUAGAGACCAUCGACGCAAGAUCAUUCAGCAGUCUCCAAAUAGUAUGAAUUCUUGGGUUGCCAAAGAAAAAAUUAUUUAAAGAAAAUAAGUAUAUCGAAGAAAUUAAAAUUAAAAAGCGGAGGAGGAGGACGGAGAAGAAAAGAAAGAAAGAGAAAAAGAAGCUAAGAAGAAGGAGGAGGAGAAACAGAAGGAGACCCAGGGCUCAGAGGCUCCGUGGGAUUCUUGAAUGGAUGAGACCGAAACCGAAAGAUACCUCCAUAGAUGCCAAGAGCCGUCCUGGUAUCAAGAGAGCCGGAGAGAGAACAACGAUCGGUACUUCGGUAGCACUGCGACUCCCUUUAUAGCCGCAGGUCUUACAGCCGUUACAAAGUCUCCGAGGCAAACAUCUUACACGUGUUAAAGAGCACGCGCCCGUCCGUGUUGGUUUGGCCCGCGGGGCGGGGCGGGGCACGCACGAUAGCAACGGUGUCACAGAUGCCUGCAUUCGUUAUUGGCACUGCCUUGUGUUUUACAGUGUAGGCAUGCUGUGCUGGGCUAGCCUGGUGCAACUAGAAACACGAGAAAGCUUGGCUGGGCUAAGGCUAAAUUUAUCUCCCAAAAUAGAAUCGGAAUUUCGCCUUUUUUUAUGAGAAGGAAAAUCGAGCCACAUUUAAUAAAAAUGUUAUUUACAUGGUAUAUUUAUGGAAAAACAAAGUAGGAACAGAAGCAAAAGGAUAGAAGCGGAGAUGCGGACACACAGAAAAUCCAGCACAACAUUGACAGUUGAUGAGCCUCCAGGUUCGGCAGUGCAGAAGGGGCAAUCUUUUAUAUACAUUCAAAUUACUUCUGUGCUGUUGUAAGGAAACAAGAAACAGACCACCUUUUGCUCAGAAAAAAAGAAAAAGAAAAAAAAGGAAACGAGUCACUUGGUUAGGGUUCCAUAUAUACAGUUGAGAAUCAUCUGCAUGCAGCAUCGACCCCAUUUACAUCACCUGUGUCAAGUAUUAACCCUCAUCACGGAUUCAUACGAUUGUAAAUCUGCAUUGCACUCAGAAGCGGUCCAAUACAUUUGGAGGCCUAAAACAGAUUCAGCGAAUGAGCCUUUUUUUUUAAAUAAUAAAAAUUUUUAAUAGGACAAAAUAUUAAAAAAAGAUAUAAAAAUAGAUAGCCAUUAAGUACAUUAUUUCAACAAAAAUGCAUAUAUGCAAUAAAGACAGAUAAAGAGUCUUGCCUUUUUCAAUUUAAUAUAAUUAUGCUUUUAAAAGGGCCCAUGAAACUGAUUAAAUAACUGAGAUAAUGCUUGAUAGUACUGUUUACAAUGUCAAGCAAGGUAAAGGAAAGAAUUUGUCCAGAAAGGAACCGCUGUCUAAGAGAAUGUAGGGGCAUUAUGGGAAAUUCACUCCAUCUAAUUAAUAAAUGUCCCAUCCCACUAUCUCCCCUUCAAGUGAGUACCCAAGGGGCAACUGCAAGUCUGCAACAUCACAGCACGGCAGCCAUUCAGCGCCCCCUCUCCCUCCUUUUCUCUCUCUACCACCCAAGAGGGGGAGAAGAAACAGAGAGGAGAAAAUUAAAAGAAUCUCCACCCUCCAAGAAGUCCCUCUCCAAUCCCCCUAUCUUCCUUCCUGAUGGCCCAGCUGGAUCAGAAGUAAUGUGAGGGAAGGAAAACCAAGGCCGAAACCAAAAAAGAGAAGGGACUUCUUCUCCUUCUUCUUCUUCUUCUCCUUAUAAUUCUAACGUGAGUACAUCCAGCCAUAUCAAAAGAAAGUAAAGAGUACAUAGUAAAAGGUAUCUCUCCUACAUAUAUUCAAAUGAUCUUCCCAGAAUGCCGGACAACAAAUGAGGCAACUCAGUCUGCUACUCUGGUCGCCUCCCUAAACACGUGUAAAGCCUGAAAAUCGAUCAGCUCCUAAGCCAACCUACGAGUAUCAUGGAUAAGGAGAUGACCAUUACUAUAUCUGUCCACUCCCCUAACCCAAUCAAUCACAACAGAGGAGUCCCCCUCGAGGCAUAUAUGCUCAGCACCAAGUAUCCGUCUCGCAUAGGAUAUCCCCUUCCAAGCUGCCCGCAGCUCCGUGCCAACAACAGAAAGUCCAGACGUAUAACGGCCACCAGCUGCUAUCAUCCUUCCGAAAUGAACUCUGAUCACAAAACCAAAACCUCCGGACAACCCGUCUACCGACAUACUACCAUCGAAGUUCACUUUGAGAUAACCAAGAGGUGGGAGUACCCAAGAAACAAGAGCGAACCUCCUCUUUCUUUCUCUCCACCCAAAACAAAACUACCGUCCCCAACUUCGCAAAUUGCCCCUAUGCAGGCCAGGAAACUCUCCACCUCCCUUCCAUGAAGGGGGAAGAAGACUCGUAGCCGGCUCCUGUUCCCAUUUUAUAUGGGGCCUUUGCUUUUUUUUGGUCAGCCUCCCGAAGGCCUUCCAUUGAUCCGAGGCCUUACUAAUACUCAAAUUUUAAUCAAUGAAUUAUUUAUUUCUUGGGUGGAUUUUCGGUAUUUCUUUUUUUUGUGUGGUGGAUUCAAAUGUACUCUAGUGGAUUCUAGAAGCAAGUCGUGGAAAAUUUCGCAAAACAUCAACAGGGAGUUCGUGGAUAUCACUGAGUCACAAUAAACUUAGAAGUACGUUCGUAGAUUUCGAACUCGACAAAGACCUCCUUUUUUGUGCGGAGAAGUUCACAAAGACCGGAAAAAUAAAGCGACCAAUUGAAUCAACUCGUACUUCAUUCAGAGCAUAAGCCGAUCCCUUGACAAUACACCAGAAUUUCAUCAUUCAAUGACAUGUACCUCCCACUAAAUUCGCAUGGCCCAAGAAGCAAUUUACCAUCACUUAUGGAACGAACCAGAAGUUCAGAGACAUCGAUUCAGUAUGGCGCCUGUAAUGCUUUCAAAAAUAAUCUAUUUGCCAAAAUCAUCCGGUCAGCCGUUUCGGCACGGACACCAGCCACCUACAGGUCCUGAGCAGCCUCCACAGAUCUCCAUUCACGGAAGAGCGAUCGCUAAUGGUUAUAAAAUUGGUACCCAUACUACUUUUUGUAUUUUACUCUAGUAGCUUGCGCGGUUCGAAUUGCUGCAUCAGAUAAACCAUCUCAACAGCUAAAUUUCAUUAUACUCAAACCAAGUCAAUUAUUUCAAAAGUUGAAUUCUCUCUUGAAGGCUUGACUUCAGUGUACUGCAAAUUUCUAACAGCAGACCAGCUGCUUCAAGGCUUUAAUUGCAACAAGAAUAUAAAUAACAUACAAAACCAAUCUAUCCAAUACACUGGGAAAUGAAAGCAACAACACAGCAAAAGAAUACAGCCGAUGACGGAGGAUUCAAAGAAAAACUGCCUAUUGAAUAUAUCAAGCAAACCUAUGCACAUGGCAUGCAGCCAUUGUUCACAACAAAUCUAACCACACUAUUUUCUGAUCAUGUGACAUUUAGCCUCCACACAGAAUCCUCAACUCGGCCUAAACAACAGCAAAUGAUCGCCUGCUACCAAAAGAAUAAUAAUGGCAACUGGUGUUAGCUACAUUAUGAUAACUAGUGGCCACUGCUGCUUCAACCAACUGCACCACCAGGAGAGAGAAAAAUAUCUCGAACCUUCUCCAACUGGCAUCAACCUCUGAAGACUAUCAGUAGCUCCCCACUGGGGGCAUACCAAAUGGAGGCAUUGGAGGCAUGCCCAUCCCACCCACUGGCGGUUGUGGGGCUGAAAAAGGUCCGCCCAUGCUAGGUCCUCCCAUGCCUGGCAUCGUUGGAGCUGGCAAUGCAAGUGGCAGCAACUGUGCGUACAUAUUCUGCAAAAUAACACACCCAUUGUCAAACAAGCAAGACAAAAAAAUGCCAAGAAACAAAACUGCAUUUACGAAGGGAUUGCAAGCACCUGCUGUGCAACCAAAUCCUUCUCAUCCUUCUCUUUAGAUUUGACUUCACUUUGUGCUUCAAUUUUGUCUUUUAUGAGUUCAUCUACUUUGCCACUGUACUCACGAAUAUACUGCACAGACACCAGAUGUUUGUCAUAGUGACAAAUUAAGAUUGUCAAAAGAUAAAAAGGACGAUAUGAAGGUUAACUACACUAGCACAACCACUCUAGUAAAAGAUCACCUGCAAGAGGUACGGGAAAGCAAAGUCAAUCAUGUUGUUCAUCCAGGCAAGCUCAAGGGCAACAUCAGGCCGAAUCAAGUCAUAACAUAUGAAGAGACAUGAAGCAAAGCAUUCCUUCUUUCCCUGCAACACAAAACAGGACCUCAGAUACAUUUCCUAAUUGACAAUUAUAACACCCUAGAGAAAGGAAAUAGUAGAGCUAUCACUUAUUAAACAAUCAAGUAAAAGAAAUGAAUGAUAACAUGUGUUUCUUAAUAACUGAUGAUCAGGAUUCUCCUUUUAAGAAGGCAAAAAGCUUCUAAAAUCGUUCAAAGUUAAAAAUAUCUAAUUAUUGCUCAUCUCGCUAUCGCACACUAUAUGCCUCGAGCAAAGAGGAUACAAACGAUUCAGGUUAUUAAGAACCAAGAUUUGCCGUACCGGUACCGGAGCCAUACCAGUGCCAUACUAGCAUAGUAUCGAUACGGUACAGUAUGAGAUUUUUUUUUACAUAUCAAAGGUGGUACGCUAUCUGUACCGAUACCAGUAUGGUACGCCCGGUACCAUCCGGUACGCCAUACCAUGUUGAGAACGGUAUAUUAGAUUGAGAAUCAAAAACCACCAUAUGGCUACAAACAUAAAGAAUUUCCUCAUUUUCACUAAAAUUUAUAUAAAAUGCAAUUAGGAAUUACUUUAAGCAAUUAUACCAUCAUAAGAUGAAGUUACUAGCAAAUUUAAUAACAAAUCUUAAGUUGCUUUAUAUGAUUAUAUCAUCUACGAGUUUGUCAAAUACUACAUUUUUUUAUUAAAAAAUCCAUGAAUUACAUUCAAGAUACACAUAGAUAUAGUAUCUCAAAGAAUUCUGUGCGCAAAAAAUACUUCUAAUAAUAUACUUAAUUAUUGAAAAGGCUUUAUCAACUUUUACAAGAAAAAAAAUUCUCCUGAGUAUUCAAAAAAAUUAUAUAGCUUUUGCUAAUUACAUGUGCAAUAUAAUAUCAAUAAUCACUUCUCAUACAAAUGCUAUCAUACGUAUAACUCACUAAUGCUUAAAUCUACAAUGCUCAUAUAUUGAGACAUUUGUACUCCUUGGCCAAAAUGCUAUCUUGGGUUAUCCUUGCAUAUCUGAAUAGGCAUGGCUUCCCAUGUUUGUGCCAAGAAAAUGCAUAGAAAUAAUCACAGAAUUAGUGCCCAAAGGAACAUGGUGGCACCACACAUCACUUCAAUCAGCAGCUAGAAAAGAAACUCGGUUACAUAUGUCUAAAAUGGUAAAUUACAUAUGACUGGCCCAUAUACAAAAUAUUGAAAAAAAAUAAAAUCCUUGUGGCAUAGAUAACAUAAAGCAGUUGAAUACAUUACCUUUCCAAGUUUAACAAGCAAGCAAAGAAUGAGAUUUUAAUGUUGCAUAAGGUGUUAUAAAGCAAGAGAAAGAAUAGUAUAUCACUCAAUCAAGGAAAAUCCUAACAAGGAAUUCAUAUAAUGAAUAACAAAAAAUCUGAUUAGUGAGUUUUGCGCAUUUAAUUUAACUGGUGAAAAAAACAGCUGCCAUAUUUAUAGUGGAGUUAACUACAAAAAAACAAUAGUGCAACAUAAUAAACAGUAGAUAGGUAAGCAUUCUGCGUCCACAAGCCCAUCACCUGCUCAAUGAAAUAAACAAGCAACUCUUCCGAGAGCUCACGGUCACCAGACUGUGAGCAUGUCUCCAUGGCAUCUUUGUACAGGUUGUCCUUCUUGGACAGAGCAAUGGACUGCUUCCACCUCCCUGCUUUCUUAUAGAUAUAUGCAGCAAUCCUCCUCAUCUCCAGAAGCUCAUGCUUCUCAAUCUAGUCAAUGACAUGACAUUCAUCAGCCAAAAACUCCACAAAUGCAUGCUUCAAGUCUAAAACAUGCAACAAUUUUACCUUCUGUGCUAGACCUAUCUGAUCAAAGUUGUCAUGCAUAUCAACUGAUUCCCGUAACCUGUCAUAGUCCUCCUCCUCAAUAUAAAUUCCAUUCAAUGCUUCAUUAACAGCAGCUACAUUGUUACUUUGUACUGCAACCAUGUACGGUUUCACAAGAUGCAAGUGACCAGCCUGAAACAAGGUAAAAGGAAGUUAAGAACAAGAUUUCCUUACAAUACAAAUGGCUACCAUCUGGCACCAACAAGACCUUUCAAACUUUUCUUCAUUUCACUAAACAAACCAGAAAGGGAAGAAGAUAGUGAAUGUUAGUAUAUACACCUUCCGCAUUAUGUCAACUACACGUGUGUGAUCCACACGAAGGGCAAGUACAUUAAGGAUAUCGUUAAUCAGGUCGGGAUGUUCUUGCAGAUAGAAAUGCACUGCCUUGUAAUAGAGCUCAACAUUUGCAACCUUGACUACAACAUCCUUGAACUGCAUGUGAUCCCAUGCAUCGGGAGAAUGGUUCAUUAUAGUGGUGGCAGCAUUGUCAAACUCAUCAUACUGUAUAUACAGAUAGGUGAGCUCUUUCCAGUGCUGCUGCUCAUCACAUACACGGAUAAGCUUGGGAAUGUUGAGACGGGUAGAGAAAAGUCUAAUAUGCUCCAUCAGUUUUUCUGGUCGGUAUCUUGCAUACAGCACUCCCAACUCUGUAAAAAUACCCAUGUGUGCACGUUCCAAUCCAAGGCCACUCUCCAUAAGUGAAAUUAGCUCAUUGAAGCAUCCCCUGUUCUGGUAAUAUUCACUGACUUCUUCCAAGUCAUCCACCUGAACCAUUAAAAUAAAUAGAUCAUGAUGAUUUUUAUAUAGAAUAUAAAGCUUCUAAAAUGACUGAGCAGUGAUAUUCUAAAAUACUAGGCAGAGAUAUUGUUUUCUUCAUGAAGGAUGAUUACCUGUAUAAUGAUAUUCAGACCACAAAUUUGGGCCAGGCGGAAUUCCUCAGCAUCAACACAGGCAAAACAAACCUCCUUCCAUGUCUUUGAGCUGUUUGCUUUGCGAGCAGCAUCAACUGCACCUUGGAACUGCUUCAGCUUGACUAAUGUACUAGCCAGCUUAGCCCAGUUGGAAAUGAAGGCAAAUAUUAUCUUAGCAGCUUCAUAAAGGGCAUCAUCAAAUAAACGAUCACCAACAUUUUGGAGAUUAGCAACAUUUGGCAUAAGAAUGAAUUCUUCUAUUUCACCUAGUCUAUCUAUCUUCGCAUAUGCAUAAAUAAGUUCGCCAUCCACCUUUGGCUCUUUGGCCUUUUGUCUCACCAUCAGCAAGUACUUCACUAAGUCAUGAUACACGUUACCUGCCUCAGCAGCCCUAAUAACAUCAAGGAAUUGGGUUGCAUCAUCCGCACGGAUGAAUGAUUCAAUGGCAUCACUUACUAACCCUUCCCUUAACUGAGCCUUAGCAACCUGGCUCCAAACAGCAUCUUCUUCAACUCGAUAUGCAAAUUCUACAGCCCGCUCUAUGCUUUGGAUGUUAUCCAGGAGAACAUUAACUGCUUGUACAUUUAGGUUGAAUUUCUUAAAGAUGGCAAAGGCUUCCUCAUAUAAUUGUGCUUCAACAGCUACCUCUCCAACCGCAGGGCCAUCAAAGUUGUCCAACCUAUUAAUGUAAUCCAUGACCCUGGAUGCAUCCGCUUUAAUGGCCGUUAAGAUAAGCAGGUUUUGCAAAUUGAAGUUCCCACUGAAUGCAGAAUUUUGAAGCACAAUCUUUUCAAGCAGUUCAAUCAGUUCAUGUGGAAGAUCAGCAGUCAUGAAAGCUUUAACAGCUGCAGAAACUUGCUCCGGACUCUUGCUUUCAGGCAAUGCAGUAGAAACAACUUGGUCAAUAAGCUGUCUUCUAUACUCAUUAUCAGGUUGAAGAACCUUCUCCCAUAGAUCACCAUCCAUCCUUUCCACCACAUAUCUGUUAUCAACAGGAUAACAUCAUCAACUAAAUGCAGAGGAAAGAUUGAAAGGGAAACAAGAGAGUCACUUUUCAGAUGAUUAGCUGCAGAUUUUUUCUUCAAAAAAGAAAGAUACCUGGCCUGCAGUUUGAAAAGAGAGUUUUUAUUUGUGACAUUUAUCAGCUCAUCAUCACAUUGUCCACGUCUAUAUGCAACAACUGCAAGGGUGGGAUCCCGUUUUUCACAGUAUUUACCCACGACACGUGAAUCAUAAUAUGGAUUAGUCGUGAGAAAAUGCUCAGGAUUAUUGUUGCUGUCUAUAAUGAUCUUUCCCAGAGCAUUGUGAACAUGCACAUCCUGGCUUCCCUCGCUCACCAGAUGUUCCAAAAAUUGCGUGAGUAACCGUAGACGAUUCCUAUUUUACACAAGGCAGCAGACAAGUAACAUAUUAGGCAAGAAUGAAAACGUUGAUUUGGAGGCAUAGAAAGGGGAGAUGUGGUAUACCUCUUUUCACAUUCAGCAACAAGAGGCUCAACUGGAAGCAGGGAACGGACAGAAAGAAUGAGACCUUUUAUGAAAUCUUCAGGACACUCAUCGUCUAGAAGUUGUCCAACCACCAAAGGAGCAUUGCUUGGGUUCACCUAUUAUAAAAUAAUACAAACAAUUCCAAGUUAGCUGCUGUUAAAGUCUCUGAAACUGUUCAUAAAAACCCAUCCCAUUUUAAUUGCGCAUUUACUAUAAAACAAGUCAGAGUCAGUCUUGCAGCAGAUAAAAGUAGCUUAUGUUAAAAAGAGAAUCUUACUUUCUGCACAUAGCCUUCAAUAUACCGAAGCAUGUUGUUUGUAUACAAGUAGUGAGUCAAAUCAGGAAUAAAUCCAAAACGAUCACAGACAUUUAUCAGGGGGCGUGCAUCUGGUAGUUUGGAUUCCAUCAGGAAAUUCUUUGUUUUCUGUGGGUCGUAGAAGUUAGAUUCUCUUGUUACACGCUCAACUUCCUUGAUUUGGCCAGUUUUGGCUGCUGCCUCGAUAUAUUUGAAGUGUAUAUCUGGAUCUUCACUGUUCCGGAUAAAAAGAAGGGGGGGAAAAAAAGAGAAACCAAAGCAUCAAUAAUAGUGUUAUCUUUACCAGUGCCCACAAAAUACUUAGUAUUCAAAUAAGUACCUGGAACUCAGAUAUGAACCCAAAAAGAAGUAAAGACCUUCAUAGGACUUAAAUUGCUCAAACAGUUUUAUGCAUGCUUCCACACCUAACUGCUCGGAAUAUUCUUUUGCCGCCUGCAAAUAUAUGAUUGUUAUAUACCUCCAACAACUGAACUCACCAAAUUAUUCAAACAGGGGAAAAGAAAAAUUACCUGCACAAUUAUCUGAAGAUUUCCUCUCAGAUUGGCCAGCAAAAGAUCCUUCAUGCACUCUAAUGCCCACUCUUUAGAAAGUGUCCCAAAGAAUUCCACUAGUGCCUGAAAAGAAGGGUGAUCUGGUAUAGUAUCAAAACAGUUAAUCAGAUCAAACAACAGAGCCCAAGAUAACAUACCUGGGGCUCAAUGGCAUGAGUAUUCACAAUAACACGUUUAAUAUCAGGCAACUCUGUAUAAUGCUGCAACACAAAAUUGGAUAUGAUUUAAUAAAUUACAACAAAAACCAAAAGAAUCAUUUGCACAUAACUUACGAACAGCAUUCAACCUGAAGGGCUCUCAUAUAUAACCCAGCCUUCUCACACAGUUGAGCUAUUCGGGGGCGAUCAUAAUGACUGAACAUUCCAUUAGCUAAUAUAGCAUCUGCAACAUUUGGAUACGCCACCAGGUUGAUCUCUAAGACCUGCAUCAAAGAUAAAAGGUUAAAGAAAUUAUCCAUACCCGGGAUGAAAAAUAUAUAGCAUGCUUAUUCAAAGUGAAAAGACUACCUUUGUUUGAAGGAAAGCAUGCUCAGGUAGAUUCUGCUUUAAAACAUCCAACAGAAAAGCUGUUGCCUCUCGGAUCAUGUUCCUCUGCAAUAAAUAACACCAUGAGCCAAAAAAAAAAUCUAGCAAGCAAAUAGAAAUCUCUGAAAGAGGAUAAAAGAUGAAAACAUAAGAUAUAAAAGAGUUUCCAUUGCAUUUUCUUGACAACUAAACAGGGGCAUGUUUCAUAUAUACAGAUACACACACACACAAACAUACAUACAUACAUACAUAAUCGUAGAGUAAAGAGAGUGACUGAACCUGAAGGAAGAGAUCUGUGACUGUAUUAUAAUCCACUGGACAGCCACCCUCCAUUUGUGACAUCAUAAGAGCAAAAUUAACUGCUCCCUGUCAUAAAAACUUUAUGUUAAACAAAUAAUUCAAAAUGAGGGCACCGGGAAUUGAAUGAAUUUACAAAAAAACAAUCCCCAAAAGAACUCUCGAGCCAUGUAACCUCUCAAGUGUCACAGUAUACCUAAAGCAUCCAAAUUAUUGAAAAAUUUACAUCAUGCCUAUUCAAUAAACUAAAGCUUACCUGGGGAUCUGACCGUAGAAUUGUCUGCAGAAGGAAAAGAUAAUCUGGUGUGUAUCCAACCUGUAUCCGAGAACAAUAACUAUCAUCAUAACAGCCCAUAAUUCCAGGUAUGACUCUUGUUAUGUGUAAAUAUUUAUGAUGCAGUCCUGCAAGAACUGGUGGAAAAAGGAAAAAAACUGCUUUUAUAUUGAAGAUGAUGCAGAAGAAUUUGCAACAAUUACCUGUUUGGAGUAUAUGAGAAUCUUGUCAAACUCCCUUCGUUCUGCAAAAGCGGCAACAACCUUUGGUGUAGCCCUCGCUUUUAUAUAUAUUUUCAGUGCGAGAUCAUUGUCCACAGUCUACAGAAAAAACAGGAAGUAAGGUCUCCACAGCAAAAAUAACAAGUCUAACCAAUGACAGAGUGAUAAAACAGUAAAUAACAAUUUUUAAUUAUUAGGAAGAUGCUCAACAAAGUAGCAGUAACUUUACAAUCCUACCUUCACAAGAUCCCCAAGUUCUUCACUGCACUCAAGCUUGUCCUCAGCCAACCAAUUUUCCAAUAGAGACUUUUUGUUCUGAUUCACAACUAGGCGAGACAAUUCCAAAGACUCGAAUGCAUUGAGUUUUCCUUUAGUUAGCAAUGUUCCAAAAUACUGCAACAAGGGUGGUGUUUGCCCAGCUUGCACAGGAACACUCUGUAUAAAUACACAAAAGUUUGAAAGUAAAUAAUAUGACUCCUCAAGAUUGAACGGCAUCACUUACCCAAAAAAAAAGAUUGAAGGGCACAAAAAACUGAAAAGAGAAAAUAUAACUUCUUUUUCAGCCAAGAAUACAACCAUAAAAUAACAAGCACGGAGGCAAAAGGGACAGCUCUAAAGAAAUUAAAAGAUGCAGUUAAAGGAACUGCCAAUUAAAUACUGGAAACAUAAUAAUUGCCAAUAACAACAAUACAUAUGAUAUACAAGUUGCAAUUAUCUCAAAAGCAAAAAAUUAGAAACGAAGGAAGAGCUCAAGACCUGAAAUUUUGCAACAGUCUCAGGUGUUCGCAGAAUGCCUUGUGGAGAGUCUGCAGCCAGUUCGGCAGCUUCCUUGUAUUUUGUUUGAGAGAAUAGCUCCUGGAACCUCUGCACAACCUGGUCACACACACGAAAGGAGGGUUGGAUGAGAAAGAUUAUGUGAAUGAAACUAUAUGUAAUACAAGAAAGGAAAGUGCAUGAAAUUGUUGCUGUAAGACAAAAAAAAAAAAAUUAAAACAGUCUUCCCUGACAGUCAAAAAAAAAGGGGGUACAGAACAGGAGAAGAAAUGCCGUCGAAAAGAAUUUUAUUCCCAUAAAUAACAUAUUUCCCUUUUGUUUCAGUCAUUUUUCAUGAGGGAAAAAUAAGAAGAAAUCCUGCUUUUCCACCAAACUUGCAUAAUGUGGAGGGAAAUCCUUCUUUUUAUUCUCUAAGCAUUUCCCAUACAUUGGAGACACUCAAAUAACAAAAUUUUUGUUCUUUAUGAGAACCUGGUUAAGAAUACCAAUCCAAAGAAUCAAAAAGGUGAUAGAUUAAAAGAGGUUCUUCUAAAUAACUAAGGAAAAGAUUUCUGCAUAUGGCAGGAGAAGCUACAUUGAAAAAAUAUGAAAUGGGGAGGGAAUUUUUUUGGACAGAACCCAGAAAUUAGUAAUCACAAUCUAUUUAGCAACAUAUGAAAUUAUUCAUCAUCUCGAUGUGAAUCACUAAAACGAUUGAAAACUCAAGUUGCAGAAAUUAGUGAUAUGCAGAUAAAAAGCAGCAAGCUUCCAUCCAUUUGUACAUGCUUUGCAACCUUUCCAAAACUAUACGAUAAUAAUGUGAUAAAAAACAUCAAAUCAUGAUUCGCCAUACCGGCCCGAAUCAGGCGAUAUGCAGCAUACUGCACCGUAACGAUUCAAUACUGGUAUCUGGUACGGGUGGCGUACUAACACUCGGUACACCAAAAAAAUUCUGUACCAUACCGUAUCGAUAUAGUACUAGUGUGGCACCGGUCCAAAGUCCGGUACCGAAAAAGCGAACCUUGCAUCAAAUUAUAAUUUACCAAAUUCUCUGCCCCUGGAAGGUUUCCUCGUUUGGCAAGAUUAACAGCUAGCUCCAGAUUGUUCAACUGUAAAGUUACCAAAUAGUAAUUGUCAGUUAAACGUUAAUGCUUACAUAAUAAUUCAACAAAGAAAUUCCAGGAUACAAUCAUACUUGACCACUGACGAAGGGCACAAUAGUUGCCUCGUUAACAGUGGCAAGCAAAACCUGCCCCCGUCUAUUAAUAGCAUAAAAACCACCAUUAGACGAAGCCUCUGUUGUCAGAAAUAUAGGAUCUGGACUAAUUCGAUUUCUAUAGACUGCUGUUGCCGUCUCCAAAUCAUACACAAAUAACAGACCAAGCUUCGUGAUCACAUAUAUCAAACUGUACUUGUGUGAAAUCUGCCAGACAAAAAAUUCACUUAAUCACCAUUGUGCAAAAUUAGAUAUAUCUUGAAAGUCCAACAAAAUAGCCUUAAUGUUCUACCUGCAUUGCGACAGGGAAGUCAUCGGCAAAAUCAGGUGGGAAGAACAGAUCUGCUUGUUUCUUUGUAAAACCUGGCUUACCUAAGAACAAGGAAAACAAAUAAAGGUUUGAAAAGAGCAUAGGUUGAUUCUAACACUGAAAAAUAUUCUUUCACAGAAAUCAAAGAAGUCAGACUCCAAUUGAGUGGAGCACCUCAAAAGUAUGGUUGCAUGAAGUGGACGUUUCAUGACUGCAAGUACUUAGCAAGUCAAAUAUAGUAUAAAAGAAAAAUCAGUCAAGCUCGAAAAGUAUCCAUUUUGGUUCCAAGAAAGAGGAAAGAUUCCCACGCAGGGGCAGGGGCGGGGAAAAAGGGGUGGGGGUGGGGGUGUUGGGUUGUGAUAUAUAAAUGGAGAGCAUGAUUGUAGCAGUUUAAUAAAUGAAAUAUGGGAGGGUUGUACUAUAAAUGGAGAGCAUGGUUGUAACAGUUUAAUAAAUGAAAUAUCUAAACUAUAACAAAAGCACAUGCAAAGAUAUGCAUCAAACCUGGCUGGGCACCAAGUUCAAUAACAUGCAGCUUUGACGUAAUCUGUCCAGCAUUAGUGGUCUUUGAAGCAAAACAAAUAAGAAUGGAAGGAUUUUCAUUGCCAGCAACCUGUGUAAGCAACAAGCAAAAAGUCAAUAAUGACAUCAUAAGAACAAAUACAAGAACGCCAAGCAUCUAAGUCACAAACAAACAGCAAAACUCAUUAUAAUAUUACCUUAAAUGAUGCAAAGGAUGCAGCAUGUGCUUCAAGUGCCUGACUGCGUUGCUGAUCCACGGAAAAAAGCUGCAUACUUCCCUUGACCAGUUGUGGUCUCUACAACCAAGAUUUUGUAAAAUGAGGUGUAAAUUCGUGAGUUUCUUUUGAUAACUUCAACAAGCCAAUGUAACUUGGUGGCAAAUUUUAAUACACUAAAAAAGCUUAAUUAACAGGGAAAGGAGGAAAAUGAGAAGAAAAUGGAGAAAUACACAAAAAAAGGGUUGAAGAUGAAGGUGAAAAGAGCAUGAAAGAAAAGAGGAGUUUCAAACUCUGGCAGGCACAUCACAUUGAUUAUCAGUACAGCCAAACCUAAAGGAGGUGGUCGAUAAAAAUUGAUCAGUUGACUCUCCCUUUUGCAAGCUGAUCUCUGGCUUCAUUGCAAGACCCUUCAACAUUACAACUUUAUCUUGAGUGCUCGACCAUCUUAGAUGCUCAAUCCACAUCAUUUUCCAAGGGUGGCUGCUCCCAUCUCCAACAUCGAUAUCUGCUCCCAUUUAAACUCAGCUUUUCAAGACCAUGAAGCUACCGACAGAAGGAAUUGUUCAUAGGCAUGAACAUCCACCUCUCCGGUAUGAUUGGAAGCCCUUUCAAGAAGUGACAUUAAUCACCAAGGUAUAGAAACCCACUGUCAGGCAUCUCACGAGUUGUCUUAAAGUUUUCCCAUACAAUCGUCUCAGUCAUUACCUCAUUCCAAUUUAACAUGCCAAACAUGUAAGAGAACAAUUUGACCACUUAGAACAUGGCUUGAAAUUUUGUUCAUAAUAUUUCACCUAAAGAAUAUUUUUUUGACCGUAAAACAAACUUAAAUACCAAAGCAGGUUCUACAUGCCUUGGCCUGUGUUGGAUAAAAAUAAGCCGAUUUCAUCUGAAAGACAUAAUUACAAACUAGACCAUGUUAUCACAAGUAAUAUUAAUUCUAACCUAUUAUUUCCACAAUUUUUUAUAAAUAAGGCUGUGUUUCAGCAUAAGUCCUAAUUGUUUCUCCAAAAUCCACUGGCGAAAUUUUAAAUACAAUGCUAGUAUAAAAACAAACCAACUUAUGUAGAAAGAUGCAUUACAUGUUUAUGAAUAAUCAUAACCGACUCAUCACUCCAUUUUGCAGUCCCGAUUUACUAGUCAUUCCAAUUGGGUUCUGCCAACAAUGUUGCUGCAAGCUUUUCCAUAGCUAUCUUGUGAAAUCUGACCAUGCUAGCUUGCCCUCCUCUUUAAAGACCCUUUGACAUGGAUUUAACUUUUGAGCACCUUUUCUUCACAAAGUGUUGUCUUGCAGGCACAUAUCAUCUCAAUCAGUUCUCCAUUAACUUGUCCUCAAAUAGUAAAACUCCUACAUGUAAUCUAGUAUAUCAAUUCUCUUUUCUAGUUUUAAGUACUACCACUCAUCCAUCUCAGCAUUCUCCUAAGCAUUAACUGCAUCUUGCUUGCUUACAUCGACAUUAUUACAUGACACUUUAAACCAAACAAUAGCUAGCCUUGUCAUUAUGGUAUAGUAUUUCUAUCAUCAUGGUAUAAUAUUUCUGUCAUCAUGGUAUAAUAUUUCUGUUAUCGUGGUAUUCAUCAUGGUCAAGGUUUUACCUCCCAAUGGAACGAGGGAAGUCUCAUCCUGUUCCAGUGAGAAAACAUGACCGCGAUAGGGUCGGGACUCCCAAACCCAUCCACGUGGGGAGAGAGAAAGAAUGCAGAAAGAAGAAAAAGAAAGAUGAAGAAAAGGAAAAAGUGAAAGGGAAAGAAAAAGAAGAAAAACAAAAGAAAGAAAGGAAAUGAGAAGAAAAAGAAAAGAAGGAACAAAGGAUAGAGAAAGAAGAAGAAAAAAGGAAAAGAAAGGAAGAAAGGAAGGGAUAAGAAAAGAAAGAAAAAGGAAAGGAUAGAAAGGAAGGUAGAAGAAAAAGAGAGAAAAGAAGGAAAGAAAAAAGAAAAAAAGAAAGAAAGAAAGGAAAGACAAAGGGGAGAGAGCCGGAGGAAAUCUACCGGAAUGCAUGACCAAGACUACUGUCGAGACGGGAUGGGAUAGCAGGGUGUUCCAUUCCAUGGAGAAACCAAGACACCUCCGUCCCAUGGAAUUUAAAACCUUGAUCACGGUAUA